UACGUAGGGUCCAAGCGUUAUCCGGAUUUAUUGGGCGUAAAGCACACGUAGGUGGUUGAGCACGUCUCAUCUUAAAUCUCUGGGCUUAACCCAGAACCUGGAUGAGAUACGACUCAACUUGUGGUCAGCAGGGGCAAAUGGAAUUCCCGGUGUAGGAGUGAAAUCCGUUGAUAUCGGGAGGAACACCAAUGGCGAAGGCAGUUUGCUAGGCUGAUUCAGACACUGAUGUGUGAAAGCGUGGGGAGCGAACGGG
rnacentral:rRNA from 1 species